rnacentral:rRNA from 1 species
AUUGAACGCUGGCGGCAUGCCUUACACAUGCAAGUCGAACGGCAGCACGGGAGCAAUCCUGGUGGCGAGUGGCGAACGGGUGAGUAAUAUAUCGGAACGUGCCCGGUCGUGGGGGAUAACGUAGCGAAAGCUACGCUAAUACCGCAUACGAUCUACGGAUGAAAGCGGGGGAUCGCAAGACCUCGCGCGAUUGGAGCGGCCGAUAUCAGAUUAGGUAGUUGGUGAGGUAAAGGCUCACCAAGCCGACGAUCUGUAGCUGGUCUGAGAGGACGACCAGCCACACUGGGACUGAGACACGGCCCAGACUCCUACGGGAGGCAGCAGUGGGGAAUUUUGGACAAUGGGCGCAAGCCUGAUCCAGCAAUGCCGCGUGCAGGAUGAAGGCC